UUGAACCUAUAACGUUACAAUUAACAAUGCUGUCUUGAACAUUUAAUGUUGAUGCUUAGGCUAACGUUACUUGAAUGCAGUUGUUCCAAAACAAAUAACUGUUCAUAUUUCAAAUCGAUAAGAUCAGUAUAUUUAUUCAAAAUUGGUAAAACAUAUAUUUCUGACAUUAACAUUUCUAAUGUUUUCACAGAUUGCACUCACUAUUCAAGCUCCAUGCAAGCAAAUUGAAGAUAAGAGAGAUGCUGUGAUUCGCUGCCUUCUUUCCUACCUUGGAGAGUCAUCUGAAGAACUCAUUGAAGUCUACCAGGAUGUAAGCAGAGACAUGAUUAAAGAUAACAUCACCAAUCAUGUUAUGAAGAUCAUUGUACUGGGCAACACUGCAGGCCAACAUCGCUGAUGUCAUCGUCGUCAUUGAGGGAACUGAGGUGCUGUUGGGAUGUAAGAAUCUCACAAAUGCGUGCCUUCUGCUCAUGGGCUUCAUUUACGCCCUGAACUUAAGCUAUCCACCAAAGCUGAGAAACACAUUUGAAGUCUUUCAAAAAAUCUUUCUUGGGCUGGAUGCUUUAAAGUUUUCUCCAAAAGUUAGCUCUUUGCAUAGAAAACAGAAGCAGAGUUUUAUUUCAAUGCUGUAUGUGAGAUCAGUUAAGCAUCUUGCAUAAAAUGUUUGGUCUGUUAUGACCUACACAAAGACAUUAAAACAUCUGUGAUGGUUUAAAGAUGCUGAACAAUUUUGGUCGUAUUUUUUGGCCAAUAGCAGAUAAUCUUGAUGUGUCCAUUUCUUUUUUGUGCACUUGUUUUUCGAGAAUUUAAUUAAAAUAAAACUGUAA